rnacentral:rRNA from 1 species
AGGACGAACGCUGGCGGCGUGCUUAACACAUGCAAGUCGAGCGGUAAGGCCUUUCGGGGUACACGAGCGGCGAACGGGUGAGUAACACGUGGGUGAUCUGCCCUGCACUUCGGGAUAAGCCUGGGAAACUGGGUCUAAUACCGGAUAUGACCUCCUAUCGCAUGGUGGGUGGUGGAAAGAUUUAUCGGUGCAGGAUGGGCCCGCGGCCUAUCAGCUUGUUGGUGGGGUAAUGGCCUACCAAGGCGACGACGGGUAGCCGACCUGAGAGGGUGACCGGCCACACUGGGACUGAGACACGGCCCAGACUCCUACGGGAGGCAGCAGUGGGGAAUAUUGCACAAUGGGCGAAAGCCUGAUGCAGCGACGCCGCGUGAGGAUGACGGCCUUCGGGUUGUAAACCUCUUCUAGCAGGACGAAGCGCAAGUGACGGUACCUGCAGAAGAAGCACCGGCUAACUACGUGCCAGCAGCCGC